GGAGGUAGAAGAAAAGCAUGCAGUCCUGCUUACUUUGCAUUUGCUUUUGCCAAAUUAGAAGAAGAAAAUCUCUGAAGAAGUGAAGUGAGAAUGAAGCGCUCUCAAACAAUGCACUGUAAGCAGCCUGCGAAAACUUCAUCUCAGACAUGAGGAACCAGACACAAGGAGGAGGUCUGGGGGCAUUUAAUUCAUCUCCCCAUCAAACAAUCUGCCCCAGAUGCUCUCUAGUUUUUGAAAGUCAACCAGUGACUGCUCGUGGAGGUUGGAAGGGACCUUGGAGGGAGUCCAGUCCAACCCCCUGCUCGGAGCGGGGCUAAGGGACAGCGUGUUGCUCGGAGGGGCUGCCGGGACCCAGGGUGACCCAGGGGUGCACGAGCAGGCUCGCCUGUGCAGCUUAUUUCAAGAUCUCUGCGGUAAAAUAACUUGUUAACAAGAACUGUAACUUUUUUUUUUUUUUUUUCACUCCAAAUUGCUGGAGGAGCGUUUGGAGGAAAGUAAAGAAAUUAAUUGCACCUGGUUUCAUUUCUAAAGUUGGAUUUUUGCAAAGCUGCCCCGGUCAAAAGUGUAGCCUUUUUAUGUGACGAGACAGCAAAAGCCUCUCUUGUCAGUUAUAGUUUGUCAUCUUUGUCUUCUCCUUCGUAGUCUGUAGGUCUUUAGGAUCUGUUGCCCCAAGGCAACAUCCUGCACCACCAAGGACAAGGGAUUUUUUUCCUUUCUCUUUUUUUUCUUUUUUCUUUCUUUUUCAGGGGGGAGGGAAAGGAGAACAUCGUCUACACGUUUGGACAAAUUCAUCUUUCUGCCCUUCACUUCAUAUCGACGUCAAAGUCCAACACCAGCAGCUUUGUUUCCUCAGUCCCGUUGCGGCUCCCGACUGCACACACCAGCUUUGUGUUAGAAGCUCUGAUUCGCCACACGACGCCUCCGCUUCCCCCGCUCUCCAAUGUGACUAGAUUUCGGAUAAAUUCACCCGUUUUCAAGUCCCAAAGUUUUACAGUCCCAUCAUCUGAGCUGAUUUUGACUGUAGAAUCAGCAUUCCCAGAUACAAGUAUAUUGUCCUUGAGUUCCAUUCCACUUGUGAGUGACUGGUGGCCUGUUAGAGUGUGAAUGCAGUUGCCUGUCUCCACAUCCCAAACUCGGAUGGAGGUGUCAAGAGAUCCACUCACCACAUGGAUACCAUCAAACUACAAGAAAGUCCUGCCAGACUGUGGUGUGAACAGGCACAAGCAUGAAAUUAAUUUCUUUUGCCUUUCAAUGCCUGGAAGUGAUGCUCCGACUCUAUGAAUGAACAAGAUGAUGUUUUGGGUUAGUAAAGGUAAG